UCGAACCACACAGGUUUGUUUUGUAACCACCCAGGGCACCCCCAUCUUUUCAUCAGGGUCUGUUAUACUCUCUUCCAAGACACACCAAGUCCUCCCGUAUCUGAGAAUAGGGUGCAUCCAACAAGUCAAAAUUGCAAAUGAAGAAUACAGUAUCAGGCAACAGAGCCUGGAUCCAGAAAAACCCUCAAUUAAAAGCAAUCAUUUUGAAAAAGUAUGGCAAGAACAAGAAUUUCUGACUGCUAAAUACAAAUGCUUUCUUUUGAAACAUUUUCUGGAUCACUGGAAUUAGUGUAUUUGACCUAAUAAUUUAGAUCUCAACAGUCUGAUAUUUUGCAGCAGGCAAAAUGAGCUAUAUUAGGAUGAACUUUGUAUAUUUACAUACACACAUCUGCACAGAUGUAUAAACACGGAAGUUUCCUAUCAAGUGCCAUCAGGACCAGGUCCUCACUGAGUGUCCAGAUGCUCUAAAAUACGCAGUGUAAACCUGUUGCAAAGUAAAAUCAAUACUCUUGAGAUAGAGUUAUGAGAGUGAUGGAGACUUGCUUGAAUCACAUGUAAGGCUAUUGGCAAAUGAGAGUUUAGACCAGACAACAUGGAAACAAAAUGAAAUGGCAAGGAGACUGCUGCCAUCGGUGCCUCACAGGAGAAGCCUUUAGAAAGACUGAUGGACGGAUCAAGUAUGGCCUCUUCAUGGUCACGCUGCAAGGUGAGCAGUGAAGUGAGGAGGCGAUGUGAUGUCAUGCAAUUGGACAUAAUCAGCAGAAAUAAGGCUACCUCCAUCGUUGCUGUUUACAAUUAUUUACAGGCAAAAGGAGUGGAAACAGUGAAAUUUCUUGGAAGAUUGUUCAUGGAGUCAAGACCCAUCGCCAGCAUGGCCAACUUUCAGAUGUAGAAAACUACAUAAGAUGUGAUACUGAUUGCAUCUGUCUUAGACAAAAAGGUCAUUUUGGGGUGGAAGGAGGCAUUUGCUAAUGCUGUGGCUUUGUGUGAAGGGCUACAGUCAGGAUCUAACUCAGCUCCCUCCCUUGAUGGAUCAGCACACAGUUACAGAAAAUUCUCAUGAAGCUGGUUUAGGGUCUUUGUAAUCUCCUUUCACUAAUACAGAUCAACCAUAAACAGAA